rnacentral:lncRNA from 1 species
AUUAAACUACUAAAUAAAGAGGCUCGUUAAUUAGUCGAUAUAAAUUCAUCAUUUUAAUGGGUUGUUUGUUAAAUUGACUCAAUUUCCUUACCCAUUUUAAUUAACUCAAUCUCCAAUCCUUUUAUUUUAUUUCCUAGGCCCAAAUAUUUUUUUUAACAAUCCACUCCAACUUCAGCCCAUCCUUCCUCAACCCCAAAUCAAUUUUCCAACCCAAUUCGUAGGCCCAAUCUUCUUUAUUUCCAUCACCCUUCGACCAAAUUGCUUCAGAAACCCAAUUCCUCCGACCCAGCGGCCCAAAUCCCUUUCGUCAGCCCAACGUUUCCCUCCGCCCCAAGCCCACUUCUUUCCCAUAACCCAUCCAACGACCCGACCCAACCCCUGUCUUCUUCCCCUUCCCCUCUCACGCCCCAAACGACGAAGCAAAUCCCCCAGAACAGAAAUCCCAGAAAAAAAAGACGCGACAGAAAACCAAAAACGGAACCCCCCCCCCCCCAGACGCGACCCCUUUCCCGCGUCCCCCCACGCACAGCCUCCCCUCUCUUACCCCUCUCGAUGCGUCUCCUCACGCUCUCUCCUCUCUCUUCUCCUCUCCCUAUCGCGACGCGCCACUCCUCCAGGGAUGUACCUGAUAGCAGCUGUCUCUUGUUGUUUCUCUCGCCACGUUUCUCUCACUCGUACGACUUCGCAGUGCUAGGAGACGCGGGUCGUCCUUGUUCGUCCUUGGUAGCACGAGAUUGAGCCACGUCGUGUACCAAGGACGGAAGGCUCAUCUCGACCCUCCACCUCGCCUCAGAGCCGUUCAAAGAUCCAGGAAUCGAGGAAUAUUCGUUUCUGUUGGAUAAGAUUGGGAUUUCGAAUUCGAAAUGGGGGAUCCCGCCCGAAAAUUCGAAACCCUAAUUUUCCCCUUACUAUAAAAACCCCGUCCGAGACAGAGAAAAGGGUUGGCGAUUUUUAUUGGAAAUUCUGGGUUGAACAUUCUUUCGCCUCCUCUGUUUAUUUAACGAAAAUUUCUCUUUGGCUUUUCUGGCUCUGUUUUGAGAAGAGUUCAAAUUUUAGAGAGGACGAAAAGAAAAGAGAGAUAGAGAUAUAAGAGAAGAGUGAGUGAAGCCACCGAAAGGGUCACUAACGGUCUCGUGUUUGUGAGUCUUGGAGUCGAAGUUCGUCUCCCUCCUCGUCCUUUUUUAAAGGGAGGCACUGUCAGCUGAAGAUAUUCAAAUAGAGCUCCCAUUUCAGUUUCGAUUAAGGUGUCGCAGUCCGUUCCGACGAUACCAAGUUCGCGUCGUGAUAGUUGCCGUUGAAGUCGCUGCUCGUCGGUUCCAGUUGCUGCCUUCAAAAAGGUAACCCAUUUUGCUUUGAACGAUUGCUCGUUUUCCUUUGUUUAGAAAUGGUUUCUGCUGGUGCUCUAGCGAUCUGUAUGGUGCUGCUCAUUGCGAAUCUUUGGUUGUUUGUGCAUUUCGUAUGUUCAAAGUGUACUCUUCAACUGUUUUGUUUACCUCAUGCUGGGUCUGCUCAUAUGUGUCGUCUCAUUUGUGUCAUUCUAUCAGUCGCGAUUGGGUUCGUAGGUAGUAUCUCUUUUCGUCUACGUCUUCUUCGCUGCUUCCUUUGUUGUUCUGUCCUUGGUGCCAUUGUUCGUUGAUGUCGGAAAAGAUUCGUUAUAUAGUCGUUUAGGCCAAUCUUUCUUGGGUUUGCUUUGUUGUUUGCUAGUAUACAUGUUCUUGAUGGUUCUAUUUGUUUAGUCCUAAUUUUAAGUUAACAUGGGUACAGUUUUGAUUAAUGUCGUGACUCUCUGUUUUCGUCGAAACUUUAGGUUCGUUGCAGUCUUCUUCUGCCGUAAAUGUGAGUUUUAUCAUGGGUUGUGUAUUUGAGUUUCUCUAAGUUAGGGGGGCUCAUUCUGUGGAAGCAUAUAGAGUUUAUUUUGUUAUCAUUGUUAAAUUCAUCAAUCUAAUUUGUUAAGUGACCUUACAUGACAUAUUUCACUGUGUUAUCAAUGUUUUAAGUGUCUUGUUAUUUGGUAUGAAUUGAUAUAUUUUUUUAGCUAGAUUUGCUUAUUCGAUGAUAGAACAUUGUCGUUGGGAGAUGUAUUUUGUCUAAGAUGAGAUCAAGUGUUCCUUCUAUCUUGUAUUUCACUUAAAUAGACUUUGUUCUAAUGUUCCUUCUUCCCAUUUGUUGCAUGUAAAAUUUCCUCCCCGGUCCACUUUGGAACCCCACUUUCCCUCGCAUUUCGGAGGAGCCAUGAAGGCUCAAAAGCUCUUCCCAUCGAGUCAGCCUAUCGAGACAGAAGUGCAGAUUCGAAAAUCCACGGAGAUUGAAGAAAAUCCAAGAACUGACUAGAAGAUUUCCUUAGUUUCUUUUAUAUAUUUUGCGUUUUUAUUUAUUCUGUAAUGGGCAUAAGCCCUCGUCGUUUCCAUUCCUUUGUAGUUUAUUUUGUAUGUUUAGAUUAGGACAGGUACAAAAUGGGUCAAAAACCCAAAAGUAGGUGGGUUCGAGUUUCGGCCAAGGCGAACAGCAUUCGAAACUUGGACCCGAAUCUCUCUCUCUCUCUAUUAUUUGCUUACGCUUUUUUUUACUUGAAUAUCGUUGGCCUAGGAUUAGAAAACUCCAGCCCCAUCGAACGUCUUUUAUUUUAUCAAACUCAAAUUAAAAAUUUGAAACUUUAAAAGAUAGAUGUUUAAGUUUGAAAAUCGCUUAGAGUUAAAGUUUUAACUUCAAUGAAAUAUUCUAAAAAAAUUGGAGAAUUUGCAUAACAGUUUCUAAUAAAGUUUCUAUAAACAAAAGAUUAGCAAAAGUUAAAACAAAAUAGUCAAAUAUUGUUAAUCGUCGGAAAAUCGUGUUUUAACGGAGUGUCUUAGGUGCCUUACACCUUCCUAAGACACUAAUAAGAAUCCCGAACCCCCUAAAAUAUUUUCAAAAUAAUUUUUUCUGUUUAAGUUGUUUUGGAAAUAAGUUUUCUUGAUUUUUCUUAAAAAAUUAAGUGGCGACUCCUAAAAGUCGAAAAUACUUUAAAAAUAAAAUAAACUCUUUUCGAAAUAAUAAUUUUUUGAUAAAACAAAUUCUAUAUAAAACAAUCAAUUAUUAGUUGUUUUAACUGUAUUUCAAUAGAUCUGGUAAUAGUGAAUUUGAACAAAUUAAAUUUAAAAAUGAAAUUGUAUCAAUAUCCAUUGAUAGUAAUGUGUUGUAUUUUGGCUGAAGUUAUAUAAAUCAAUCAUUUACUAGUUGUUCUAAUUGAAUAAGUUGUUUUGAUUGUAUUUAAAUUGAACGUGUAAUGGGAAAUUGUAUAUGAACGUAUUUGAAACUCCAAUUGUAUAAAUUCUCCAUUGAUAAUUGGAGCUUUGGUCAAAUGUAUGUUUUCCAUAUAUUUUGUGGAAUUAUUGUCCGUAUAAAAUAAUAUAUGUAGUAUUAAUAUACGUAAUUGUAUAAAUAGAGACUUGAUAUAUGCAUUUGUAUAUUUGAUCUAUAAUCAUGUGUAGUUGCAUCUAUUUCAGUCUGUAGCUGCUUCAAUUGAUAAUUAUUGUAUAACUUAGUUGGAAUUAAUUGAUUUCAAUUUGAAAAAUUAAAUAAAUUAGCGACCUUCUUAGUAAUACUCUUACGCAUAGUUACAAUUCUUAUAUGUAUACAUCAUUAAAUUAUAUUUGUAUAAUUCUGAUAUGUACACAUACUUACGUUGUAUUUGAUGUAUACAUAGUUAAGUUGUAUUUGUGUAGUUCUAUUAUAUAUACAUCAUUACUUUGUAUCUUGUACAGUUAUGAAAUGUAUAUACUUCUGGUAUGUAUACGCCACUAAAUUGUAACUUAUAUAGUUUUAACCAAACUAAGUCAUUAUAUAAAAUAAUUUACCAAAGUAAUACAUUUUUCUAAAAUUUUACAAAAUUAGUAUAAACGUAUUUCACGGUAACGUUUUAGGGUAUAUUUUAUUUUUAAAAAACUAACAGCAUUAGGUUGAUAUACGUUAUUGUAAAUAACAUUUUACUUUUAAAACGUUAUUUUCAGUAAUGUUUUACUCCUAAAACGUUACUAUGAGUAACGUUUUACUUUUAAAACGUUAUUAUGAGUAACGUAUAUCAAUCUGACGCUAUCAACUUUUAAAAAAUAAAAUAUAUCCUAAAACGUUACUGUGGAAUACGUUUAUACUAGUUUUGCAAAAUUUUAGAAAAACAUAUUAUUUUGGUGAAUUGCUUUAUAUAAUGGCUUAAUUUGGUUAAAACCCCCUUAUAUAUUAUGUAUACAGUCAUGUAUGUAUACACCAUUAAAUUGUAUUCUAAAUAUAUACACUUUCGAUAUAUAUAUUUAACAUUAUAUAUACAGUCAAGUAGUACUACUUGGCGAAAAGCUUUGAUCUUUCCCUUGCCUAACUAGGGCUUUUGUUAUUUUAAUUGGUUUGCAGUUGCCUUUUCUUUCCUAGGCUAUUGGCACUUGUAUUAGAAUUCAUUUUCACUGAACACUUUGUUCGAUCUGAGUUUCUUUUGUGACAAUGGCCUUACAGCAUCCCAUUUUAAUCCCAAAUCUCUUAUUGCUCAAGUAACUAUCAAACUUUUGUUUCAUGGAGAGACCGUGAUGGUCAGAGGUUUUGGCAAGUUGUUUGGUUGAAAUUUUAAUCCCUUAAAAAACAGCUAAAAUUGAAAUUCUUCUAUAGAAAGUUUGUACGUUAAAAUUCUAAUUCUUGAAGAUUGUUAUUACAGGAUGUUGUGAAUGAUAGGAUCACUCAUUGCCGGGAAAGCAGAUGAGUGUUCAUUUUUUGCUGGAACUGGAAAAUGUCAGCAAGGCUUUGUUAGUUGACUUAUUCGGGUCUUAAUGCUGAUUUACUGCCUCUUGGCAGUAGGUUCAGUUAUCUCCCCCAAACUCAAGUUACCACGAGGACAUUGAUAUUUGAGUUGUAAGUACCUGACUUGGAACUGGAGGAUGCUUAGUUACACCCCGCUGCUGAUGGAGAGUUGCGAGUACCUGACUGCAGUUCUGAUUAUCCUCGUCUGUUGUUGAUUGUAAAUCAUCAUUUGUGUCUUGCUCAACUCGUGGUGCCCAACAGGUGCUGGUGGGGUUAAUCUCUAUUCCUCAAAAUAACUUGAGAGUAUUUGUCUUCCAUAAAUCAACGAAGAUUUAUUCACAUGGGUUGAAAUUGUUGGGUAUUGUAUUUAGCUUUUCUCGUCAACAAGAAAAAGAUGAAAUUCUUCAAAUCCUUGAUUUAUGAUGACCCUGCUCGCUUCUAUACACAGUUAUGUGCAGAAGUUGAAAUUUUCAUCUUUGGUCACCAAUUCGAGCAUGUGCUUUGCCCCGAGUUCAUCCUGCUGCUUUUUCAUAAUAACAUAGGAUUUAAAUAAAAGAAGAAACGAAUUAUAAAGUUGGACGAAGUGAUUCUUUCUUCUGAUACAAUAAUCAGUACUUGGCUCACUACUCAAAGAAAAGGUAGAACAAAUGGAAAAUGGAGAUCUUGUUCUAUUGAAAAGUUCUGCAAAAAUCUCAAACAUUUUGUCAAAUUUCAAUAAGUUAUAUACUCGUAUUUUAUAAGCUACUGUUGAAUUUGUGGUUUAUAAAUAAAGAGAUUACAAAAGGAAAAGAAAAGAAAGAUGUUCGGGUGAACAAGUGUAUGUGAGAUUUAUCCCACAUCGUCAGAAACAAGGGCAGGCAAGGUAAUGGAGUGAUAUAAAAAUAAAGGAGGGUACGACCUUGAAACAUACUUACCUGGACGGGGUCAAUGGGCGAUCAUGAACACCCAUGGCCUAGGUUGGUGACCAUCAUUGCACUUUGAAGGGGUGCCCGCCUAAGGUCGGCCCAAGUGGUCGAGCCUACGUCAUAAUUUGUUGCUGAGGGGGCCUGCGUUCGCGCGGCCCCUGCCAAUUCUAGUACAAGUGCUUCAAUCUCGAGUUAGUUUUUUACUUCCAUUUAAUAGAGCAUGGGUAAUUUUAAUUUAGGAAUGUGUGUAUUUUCAUAACAAAUACUAACACUAAUGUAAGACUGAAUUUAUA